GGCGGCCUAGUAUAGUGGUCAGUACAUCAGAUUCUGACGUUGCUGGCAUUCUGAGGAGCCCGGUUCGAUUCCGGGGGUUGCCU
rnacentral:tRNA from 1 species